AAAUUCUAAUGACCUGAUUUACAAGCCUCUUGGCAGAAAAAUCUCACGAAUGGGACUGCUCUUAUUUACACCUUAGUGACAUUUUCAUACAGUGAGAUCCGGUUCUCACCUCCUUGGCAUCAUCAGGCUCUCCAUCGUUGAGUGCUGAGUAGAGGAUCAGGUACUCAGUGGCCCCCGGUGCUGCAGCCCAGCUCACUCGCAGUUUGCUAUAAGAGGAAGGCAUCACCUCCAGAGGACUCCGCCAGUAACCUGAAGCAUAAGGAAGUGCUGCAUCCUGUUUUGUCAAAGGUGGAAGUUGGCUUUGCAUAAACCUGAGUGACCACUGGAUUUGUCUACCUGAGG